rnacentral:rRNA from 1 species
GACGAACGCUGGCGGCGUGCUUAACACAUGCAAGUCGAACGGAAAGGCCCUGCUUUUGUGGGGUGCUCGAGUGGCGAACGGGUGAGUAACACGUGAGUAACCUGCCCUUGACUUUGGGAUAACUUCAGGAAACUGGGGCUAAUACCGGAUAGGAGCUCCUGCUGCAUGGUGGGGGUUGGAAAUUUUGGGCGGUUGGGGAUGGACUCGCGGCUUAUCAGCUUGUUGGUGGGGUAGUGGCUUACCAAGGCUUUGACGGGUAGCCGGCCUGAGAGGGUGACCGGCCACAUUGGGACUGAGAGACGGCCCAGACUCCUACGGGAGGCAGCAGUGGGGAAUAUUGCACAAUGGGCGGAAGCCUGAUGCAGCAACGCCGCGUGCGGGAUGACGGCCUUCGGGUUGUAAACCGCUUUCGCCUGUGACGAAGCGUGAGUGACGGUAAUGGGUAAAGAAGCACCGGCUAACUACGUG